rnacentral:rRNA from 1 species
GAUGAACGCUGGCGGCGUGCCUAAUACAUGCAAGUCGAGCGAACGGACGAGAAGCUUGCUUCUCUGAUGUUAGCGGCGGACGGGUGAGUAACACGUGGAUAACCUACCUAUAAGACUGGGAUAACUUCGGGAAACCGGAUCUAAUACCGGAUGAUAUUUUGAACCGCAUGGUUCAAAAGUGAAAGACGGUCUUGCUGUCACUUAUAGCUGGAUCCGCGCUGCAUUAGCUAGUUGGUAAGGUAACGGCUUACCAAGGCAACGAUGCGUAGCCGACCUGAUAGGGUGGUCGGCGACACUGGAGCGUGGACGCGGUCAAGACUCCUACGAGAGGGCGCAGUAGGGAAUGGGACGCAAUAGGCGAAAGCCUGACGGAGCGACGGCGCGUGAGUGAUGAAGGUCUUGGGUUCGUGAAAAUGGGUUAUGAGUGAAGAACAUAUGUGUAAGGAAAUGUACACAUCUUGACGGUACCUAAUCAGAAAGCCACGGCUAACUACGUG